AAUAAAGCAUUGAUUAGGAUUAGUAAUUUUCUUUCUAUAGCAUAGAGAGUCAGUGGUUGGUGUAAACUGAUGUAUAGGAGAUUAAGAAUCAACCUAGGAGCGGAAUGAAGAAAGUCAUUGAUGAGUAUUUAUUCACGGUAUAACCGUUAUCUUUGUAAGGGGUCUCUAAAUUGUUCCACGUGGAACAAGAGGCAACUAGGGUGGCAACGCGGGUUAAUCUCGUCCCUAAU
rnacentral:ncRNA from 1 species